rnacentral:lncRNA from 1 species
GUGUUGGAGCGCCGCCGCGGCGAGGACGGGCUUGACGUCUGCGUCGACAGAAGAGGUGAGCUGCUGCGGGUGAGCCGGAUUGUUGCCGCUGGAGUGGAUUGGAUUGUUUUCGAUGAGCGCCAGCAGCUGGUGCUGGGUGCCUGGGUGAUUCAAGGCCGCGGAGCUUUGCAUGCUUUGGUUCAAGCCCAGCCUUCCCAGUUGCUGCUCGGAUCUCGCCAGUACGAAUUGCUGCUGCUGGGGGCUGGAGUUCAUUUGUAAGCUCGAGGUCUGAUCGAUGCUUUCCCUGCUAGGUGGUGGUGCCGGUGGCGGCGGCGUGAAAGUUUGCAAAGGUCGAGCCAGCCAUGGAACCGAGUGGUGGUGCUGUUGCUCCACCAUAGCUGAGGAGCUGUAGGAGGCGACCGGAGAGCUUUGCUGGUGAGCACUGCUGCCUAUCCCGGCUGACGAUAGCGAGAGGCUCGGGCCUUGCAGGUACUGCUGGUACACGGAUUCUUGCGUCCCUGGAGAUUGCCGGGUACUCUGUGCGGAAGAUGGUGUCCGUG